GAGAAAGUAACAGAGACAAAAGACUAUUAACCUACAGAUGAAGGCUACUGCAUGACUCAUUGCAAGAUUUGUCAGUGUUGGGCCAGUGGAGUGUUGGUAAGACCAGAAGGGACCACCUCUUUUCUAGGGUAAGAGGGCAAUUUGGUCUCCAUGCUCAUUUAGUCCCAAGACUUCU
ensembl:misc_RNA Gm27820 predicted gene, 27820